AGUAAACCAGGAAAGAGGAUGAGUAAGUCUGCUCCAUGACCAAGCUGACACCGAUGCAGGAAAUGUGGGCAAGGCCUCUACUGCUGUCCCCUGGCUUCUCCAGAGUGAACCUAAGAUGUCCCUGAAAAUCAUCAGUCUGCGAAAGAUCAAUGCAAAGCCUAUUUGGAAAGGGCUUCCUCCACCUCUUCCAAAGACACCAGGACGAUCGAUCUCCUUGCGCGUUGGAUGCUGAACAAGCACUCGCCUGGUCACCAGGGGGCUCACGCCUGCCCAGUGGGAACAGCACAUGGCCAGCCUUCCCUGCCUCCAUCUCCGGGCACAGCUCCACGUUCUGAGAGUUGGUGGUCUGCGGAGAGGUGUGGGAGGAAAAUUUCAUGCAGAAGUUUGCCUGUCUGCAUUUGCAUUUGAAGACAGCUGGGAUAUGAAGACCGUGUAAACAAAGGCAUUCCAUUCACAGGGAAAGUUUAAAAUAUUCAGAAAUGCUGGAGGAUGCUCCCAGAGAAAAAGUGAAAGAGACUCUUGCUUCCUUCGCAUGUGGAGACACAGCUAUCAUACUGCCAAGCGGCCUGUGGGAGGAGGCUGUGCUCUUCUGCGGAUUCCUGUGUGGAUGCCCUAUGAGAAGACUCUACGGCAAGGGUGGCUGAGGAAGUCAUGCUGGGAGCAUCUUGGCUCACAGGAUCCAGUCUGUGGUUGGCUUGACUCCAAGGCGGGAACAUCAUGGAGGAGGAAGCAGCUGAAGGAACAGAGCCAGAGAAGAACAAAGGGUGAGGGACCAAAUAGAGACCCCGCAGCGGUGCCUCCCUGACCUACCCAGACACCCAGAAGUGUGCUUUGCGAAUCUCCGUGGCAGCUCCCAAGUCAGUCGAGCUGACAGGACCACGCUUCACCACCACGCCCUGGCUGAUGGCAAAGGCUAAUUAGUGCUGUGAGUCACACAGGUUACCAGCUCAGGACACCGGGACAUAUGGCACUGUGAUCAUGCACCGACUGGAGCCCCAAAGUCACUCCAACCUGAAUUUGUGAAGGAGCACGGGAGAGUCAGAACCUUGGCUCCACCUGUGGAGACACUAACGGAUGUGCUGGUGGGAAGGUGGCGACCCAUGCACGGAAGACCCUCCGUGCAGACACAGACUCGAGGACAGAGGUUGGACAUCUAGCAGGACACCUUGUUCGCUUCAGCGCCAUCCACGCAAACAUGCUCUU